rnacentral:SRP_RNA from 2 species
GCCGGGCGUGGUGGCUCACACCUGUAAUCCCAGCACUUUGGGAGGCUGAGGUGGGUGGAUCACUUGAGGUCAGGAGUUCGAGACCAGCCUGACCAACAUGGAGAAACCCCAUCUCUA